AAAUAUUUUCUUCACCCAAAACGAACGUAUAAUGUGCCAAAGACGUUGGCUCGAGCUGUUAAAGAUUAUGAUCGUACCAUUCAAUAUCAUCGUGGAAGAGCGAACGUGGUAGCUGACUCGUUGAGUAAAAGAUCAUAUGCGUUUAUGAGUGUGAUGUUGUUAGCACAAAAACCCAUUUCAUAUAACUUACAUAUGAUGAAGAUAGAGUUAAAGACUCUAGGG
rnacentral:lncRNA from 1 species